rnacentral:rRNA from 1 species
GAUGAACGCUGGCGGCGUGCUUAACACAUGCAAGUCGAACGAAGCACUUUGAAAGCUUGCUUUCGAAGUGACUGAGUGGCGGACGGGUGAGUAACGCGUGGAUAACCUGCCUCACACAGGGGGAUAACAGUUAGAAAUGACUGCUAAUACCGCAUAAGCCCACGGUACCGCAUGGUACAGAGGGAAAAGAUUUUAUCGGUGUGAGAUGGAUCCGUGUCUGAUUAGCUAGUUGGUGGGGUAACGGCCCACCAAGGCGACGAUCAGUAGCCGACCUGAGAGGGUGACCGGCCACAUUGGGACUGAGACACGGCCCAAACUCCUACGGGAGGCAGCAGUGGGGAAUAUUGCACAAUGGGCGCAAGCCUGAUGCAGCGACGCCGCGUGAGUGAAGAAGUAUUUCGGUAUGUAAAGCUCUAUCAGCAGGGAAGAUAAUGACAGUACCUGACUAAGAGGCUCCGGCUAAAUACGUGCCAGCCGCCGCGGUAAUAC